AAUCUAAUUGGGCCAGAGCAGGCUUCUCCCCCAAGGGUACUUAGUUCCCCCUACUAUGAAGGUGGCUUUAGGAAUACUGGGAGGCAAAAAUUCUACCUCUGGCCUCCUCUUUGGGCCAGAACUUGCUUUCCUCCAGCUUGCUUCUGUUGACUCCUUUUCAGAGGCCUGAACCUUCCUCUCACCUGCCCCCAGACACAGGAAGAUUUGGGACCAAUUCAGCUGGACAUCGUAUGGUCGAUCUCCUACCUCCAUUAUCUAGGGUGGGAACCUGGAUGUUUCACACAAUGUAUCCUCUCACUCCUAAGCUGUUCCCUCUACUCAACCUUGCCUUAUGCUUCCUGGGGUCAGAGAUCUGUUCCUGAUACACUCAGCUCUUCUCUGUAGCUUCCACCCCUUCCCAGAAGACCCUUCUCCUAUGACAGGUUCAUUCUCCCACAGCUCCACUCCCUCCCUCCCCAAGCCUUCUUUUUCCCUCCUGGAAAACUCCUCUGAACUCCUUUUUAUCUCCGCUCUUUGUCACUCCCACUUCAUGUCAUUGACCAACACUUAUGGUCUCACCUUGCACCAUAUCAUCACCCCAGUCUGGCUUUGCCUCUGCAUUUUAAAAUUCAAACAUCCAAUCCUCUACUGCCUCCAAGUCUGUUUGGUAUUCUAUCUUCAUCCCAGGGCCUGUCACUGCACCUCCCUCUGCCAGGAUCUUUCCUUGCUUGGUCCUUCUGUCUCAUCCACGUGACAGAAUGUUACUAUCCAACUUUGGAUCCAUACCCAUGCUAUUUACUGGAGUGCUGGAGAAAUCCCACAACUUAGAAGGCAGGAACCCUAUGGAUUCAUAGUUUCCAUUAGCAACUGGAUCCCACAUACUGGCUUCUAC
rnacentral:lncRNA from 1 species